GACGAACGCUGGCGGCGUGCUUAAUACAUGCAAGUCGAACGGAAAGGCCCUGCUUUUGUGGGUUGCUCGUGUGGCGAACGGGUGAGUAACACGUGAGUAACCUGCCCUUGUCUUUGGGAUAACUUCAGGAAACUGGGGCUAAUAUCGGAUAGGAUCUCCUGCUGCAUGGUGGGGGUUGGAAAGUUUCGGCGGUUGGGGAUGGAUUCGCUGCUUAUCAGCUUGUUGGUGGGGUAGUGGCAUACCAAGGCUUUGACGGGUAGCCGGCCUGAGAGGGUGACCGGCCACAUUGGGACUGAGAUACGGCCCAGACUCCUACGGGAGGCAGCAGUGGGGAAUAUUGCACAAUGGGCGGAAGCCUGAUGCAGCAACGCCGCGUGCGGGAUAACGGCCUUCGGGUUGUAAACCGAUUUCGCCUGUGACGAAGCCGGAGUGACGGUAAUGGGUAAAGAAGCACCGGCUAACUACGUG
rnacentral:rRNA from 1 species